UAGAGUUUGAUCCCUGGCUCAGGAUGAACGCUAGCGGCAGGCUUAACACAUGCAAGUCGAGGGGUAUAUGUCUUCGGAUAUAGAGACCGGCGCACGGGUGCGUAACGCGUAUGCAAUCUACCUUUUACAGAGGGAUAGCCCAGAGAAAUUUGGAUUAAUACCUCAUAGUAUAGUGACUCGGCAUCGAGAUACUAUUAAAGUCACAACGGUAAAAGAUGAGCAUGCGUCCCAUUAGCUAGUUGGUAAGGUAACGGCUUACCAAGGCUACGAUGGGUAGGGGUCCUGAGAGGGAGAUCCCCCACACUGGUACUGAGACACGGACCAGACUCCUACGGGAGGCAGCAGUGAGGAAUAUUGGACAAUGGGCGCAAGCCUGAUCCAGCCAUGCCGCGUGCAGGAUGACGGUCCUAUGGAUUGUAAACUGCUUUUGUACGAGAAGAAACACUCCUUCGUGAAGGAGCUUGACGGUAUCGUAAGAAUAAGGAUCGGCUAACUCCGUGCCAGCAGCCGCGGUAAUACGGAGGAUCCAAGCGUUAUCCGGAAUCAUUGGGUUUAAAGGGUCCGUAGGCGGUUUAGUAAGUCAGUGGUGAAAGCCCAUCGCUCAACGGUGGAACGGCCAUUGAUACUGCUAAACUUGAAUUAUUAGGAAGUAACUAGAAUAUGUAGUGUAGCGGUGAAAUGCUUAGAGAUUACAUGGAAUACCAAUUGCGAAGGCAGGUUACUACUAAUGGAUUGACGCUGAUGGACGAAAGCGUGGGUAGCGAACAGGAUUAGAUACCCUGGUAGUCCACGCCGUAAACGAUGGAUACUAGCUGUUGGAAGCAAUUUCAGUGGCUAAGCGAAAGUGAUAAGUAU
rnacentral:rRNA from 2 species